CCUACGGUGGGCAGCAGUGAGGAAUAUUGGUCAAUGGCCGGAAGGCUGAACCAGCCAAGCCGCGUGAGGGACGAAGGCACAGUGGGUGGUAAACCUCUUUUGUAAGGGAAGAAAAAAUGGUACGUGUAGCAUGAUGCCUGUACCUUAUGAAUAAGCAUCGGGUAACUCCGUGCCAGCAGCCGCGGUAAUACGGAGGAUGCGCGCGUUAUCCGGAUUUAGUGGGUGUACGGGGUGCGGAGGCGGUCUGUUAGGGUAGUGGUUAAACGUCGGGGCUUCUCCGGGAUGUGCCAUUGAGACUGUCAGUCUCGAGUUCAGGCGAGGUAUGCUGAAUCCGUUGUGUAGCGGUGAAAUGCUUAGAUAUCA
rnacentral:rRNA from 1 species